UACGAAGGGUGCAAACGUUGCUCGGAAUUAUUGGGCGUAAAGAGCGCGCAGGCGGUCUAUCAAGUCAGAUGUGAAAUAUCCCGGCUUAACCGGGAGGGGUCAUUUGAAACUGGUAGACUAGAGUACAGCAGAGGAUAGUGGAAUUCCCGGUGUAGUGGUGAAAUGCGCAGAUAUCGGGAGGAACACCGGUGGCGAAGGCGGAUCUCUGGGCCUGAUCUGACGCUGAGGCGCGAAAGCUAGGGGAGCGAACAGG
rnacentral:rRNA from 1 species